UUCAGGUGUUUGUUUGACAACAACAAGCGUGUGUUGACAGCCGGCAAAACAAAGCACGUGCAGUUUGUUUUAACACAUAAUUUACAGAUGACAGCUCAUCGAGAGACUCUUAAAGUGUUUAAACAACACAUAUUAAAGCUCAGCAGCAAAUUAAAGCAGCAGAAUCUGUGAUAAAGUGCAGCAAUCGAGUGAAGAGACUCACCUGAUGAAGGAUGUGUUUGGAGUGAACAGAAGCAGAGCUCUGGGACAUUUGGACUACAUUUACUGGCGUGAUGGACAUCUGCUGCGGACAGGAUGAAGGAUGUGUUUGGAGUGAACAGAAGCAGAGCUCCGGGGCGUUUGGACUACAUUUACUGGACAUCUGCUGCGGACAGGAUGAAGGAUGUGUUUGGAGUGAACAGAAGCAGAGCUCUGGGACAUUUGGACUACAUUUACUGGCGUGAUGGACAUCUGCUGUGGACAGGAUGAAGGAUGUGUUUGGAGUGAACAGAAGCAGAGCUCCGGGGUGUUUGGACUACAUUUACUGGCGUGAUG